CAACCCCUCAGGCCCUGGUGCCUGGCGUCGGGGCCCUCCCUCGCGGGAGGCCCCCAGAGACAGUGGCGGACCCGCCGCGGCUCCGAGCGCAGUAGUAAAAUUCUCGCUCCGGGGUACCGCGGUCGGCACCGGCCGUGAAACUAGGUCUCCGGACCGACCCAAACAA
rnacentral:misc_RNA from 1 species